UCUGGUUGAUCCUGGCGGAGGUCACUGCUAUCGGAGUCCGAUUUAGCCAUGCUAGUCCACCGAGCCCUUGCGGCUUGGGGCGGAUAGCUGAGUAACACGUGGCUAACCUACUCUGUGGACCGGAAUAACCUCGGGAAACUGAGGCUAAUGCCGGAUAAGAGAGGGAUACUGGAAAGUUCCCUCUCAGAAAUGCUACGGCGCCACAGGAUGGGGCCGCGGCUGAUUAGGUAGUUGGUGAGGUAACGGCUCACCAAGCCAGUGAUCAGUAACAGCCGUGGAAGCGGGAGCUGUCAGUCGUGUUCUGAGACAAGAACACGGGCCCUACGGGGCGCAGCAGGCACGAAACCUUCACAAUGCACGAGAGUGCGAUGGGGGGACUCCGAGUGCGAUCUUCCUACAAGGAAGGUCGCUUUUCUGCAGUGUAAGGAGCUGCAGGAACAAGGGGUGGGCAAGACGGCUGCCAGCCGCCGCGGUAAUAGCCGCACCCCAAGUGGUGACCGUUCUUAUUGGGCUUAAAGCGCUCGUAGCCGGCCGUACAAGUCCGCUGUAAAAUCCACGCGCUCAACGUGUGGACACGCAGCGGAUACUGUGCGGCUAGGGACCGGACGGCGUCGAGGCUAUUCCCGGAGUAGGAGUGAAAUCCUAAAAUUCCGGGAGGAGCACCAGUGGCGAAAGCGCUCGACGAGUACGGAUCCGACGGUGAGGAACGAAAGCCAGGGGAGCAAAGCGGAUUAGAUACCCGCGUAGUCCUGGCCGUAAACAAUGCCUGUUCGAUGUCGGGUAACCUUCGUGGUUACCCGGUGCCCAAGGAAAACCGUUAAACAGGCCGCCUGGGAAGUACGGUCGCAAGGCUGAAACUUAAAGGAAUUGACGGGGGAGCACCACAACCGGUGGGGGCUGCGGUUUAAUUAGAUCAAACGCAGCACACCCUACCAGAGCCGACAGCAGAAUGACGGUCAGCCUAAGGGGCUUACCUGACGCGCUGAGAGGAGCUGCAUGGCCGCCGUCAGCUCGUGCCGUGAGGUGUCCGGUUAAGUCCGGUAACGAGCGAGACCCGUAUCCCAUGUUGCGAUGGAUUCACUCAGUGAAUCCAGCACUCGUGGGAGACCGCUGGCGAUAAGCCAGGGGAAGGAGCGGGCCACGGUAGGUCAGUAUGGCCCGAAUGCUCUGGGAUACACGCGGCCCACAAUGGCCGAUACAAAGGGACGCCACCCCGAAAGGGGAAGCUAACCCCCUAAAAUCGGUCCUAGUCCGGAUCGAGGCCUGCAACUCGGCCUCGUAAAGGCGAAAUCGGUAGUAGUCGCUGGUCACUAUCUAGCGGCGAAUAAGUCCCUGCUCCUUGUACACACCGCCUGUCAAGUCACCCGAGUCAGGUUCAGACGAGGACCUCGCCCAGCGAGGGACAAGUCUGAGCUUGGCAAGGGGGGCUAAGUCGUAACAAGGUAUCCGU
rnacentral:rRNA from 1 species